rnacentral:rRNA from 1 species
UCUCAGUUCGGAUUGCAGGCUGCAACUCGCCUGUAUGAAGUCGGAAUUGCUAGUAAUCGCGGAUCAGCAUGCCGCGGUGAAUACGUUCCCGGGCCUUGUACACACCGCCCGUCACACCAUGAGAGCCGGGAACACCCGAAGUCCGUAGUCUAACCGCAAGGAGGACGCGGCCGAAGGUGGGUUUGGUAAUUGGGGUGAAGUCGUAACAAGGUAAC